CACUCCGAACUGUUUGUACUGCGAGGCGGGCUGUAGAACGCAUAUCACGUGACUAUACACACAUGGGUGGCCCAUGAACGCCAACCUUAAAGUCCUGUCAAACAGAACAUACACUGUAGAGAUCGCUUUAAGGUGAACGGCCUUUUCGAACACAGAGGUGAAGAUGGCAGAGGUGUCGGAGAGAACUCUUCAAGUCGCUAUCGCCGUCUCCUUCGCGACAGGUUUCCUCGCCGGCUGGCAAGCCAACAGAAUGCGACGAAAGUUCCUUGACUGGCGCAAGAAAAGACUCCAAGAUAAGCUGGCGGAGACACAGAAGAAGCUAGACUUGGCAUGAGGCUGUACAGAGUGUACAAUUAUGCCUCGAGUAACCAGCCCAGCUGUUCCUGCCAUGGUGAAGACCUUUCAGUUCCUGAUGGAAUCAUGCACCUCUGCCAGUUCAGUUUUUAAAGACUUUGGGUUUCAAAGGGACUGCUCUACACUGGACACGGAUAAAUACCCCUGUAUACUUUUCUUCUGUUCAAAGUAUGUCUGAUAAUAAUGUAUGUCAAAGUGCACCUGGUCCUCAUUAAUCAGUGUGAACAUAUAUAACAUGUAUCACACCAUCCACACGUGUUGAAACCUUUAUGCAAUAAAUAGAUUUCUUUUUGUUACAAACGACAAAUAUCUGAAUAGUGAUCUACAUUUAAUAACUGACUCAGCCACUAAUGCACAUUGCACUCCUGUGAAGGGAAAGCCUGCCUGUCUAAAGAAAUACAUUUUGGUAAUUUUGGUACAUUUUUUUGUAUCCGCAUCCACAAACUGAUAAAACAAAUCUACAUUUAAAAACUAACCAGUGCCUGAAUCAGCUGGGUUUCCAUUCAAUUCUCCACAUAAAUUACUUCUUGCUUUCAGGUGAUAAUUUCUUACCCAAAACUCAAAUGAGCAUCAUCAAGUUGGAUGGCAAUUCACUUACUGAUCCAUCUUUUAUCUCUAGUCCUUCAUUGCACCCACCUCAUAUCAUCCUGUAUGGUGUAUGUUGUGUCCUUCAUCCAAUUAACUGUAUCCAUCGGUGACAUUCUUCGUAUGUACCGUGGAUGUGUAGGCAGGCACUGUACUGCAGAGCUGACUGCUGUUCACUUUCUCUUUUCUGUAAAUAUAUUUUAAUUGUUUGAAAUAGAAUUGAAAACAUUUGCUGUGA